GACGAACGCUGGCGGCGUGCCUAACACAUGCAAGUCGAACGGGAAGGCCGUGCCUUGUUGGGGUCGUCGAGUUGCCACCGGGUGAGUAACCCGUAGGUUACCUGUCCCUGACUUUGGGGGAACUUAAGGAAACUGGGGCUCAUCCCGCCAAAGAUCUCCUGCUGUAUGGUGGGGGCUGGAAAGUUUCGGGGGUUGGGGAUGGACUCGCGGCGUAUCAGCUUGAUGGUGGGGUAGUGGAUUACCAAGGCUAUGCCGGGUAGCCGGCCUGAGAGGGUGACCGGCCACAUUGGGACGGGGAUACGGCCCAGACUCCUACGGUAGGCAGCAGUGGGGAAGAUUGCACAAGGGGCGGAAGCCUGAUGCAGCAACGCCGCGUGGGGGAUGACGGCAUUCGGGUUGUAAACCGCUUUCGCCUGUGACGAAGCGUGAGUGACGGUAAUGGGUAAAGAAGCACCGGCUAACUACGUG
rnacentral:rRNA from 1 species